rnacentral:rRNA from 1 species
CCCCGUCCGUCCGAGUCGUUGAGCCGGUAGAACCGGCAGUCAGCGACUGACGCAGGACGGUUCCUUUGGGGCCAAGGAGGCCCGAGGGGUGGGGGGCGACGAUGUCACUACGAAGAGCGGCAGUAGCGGCAGCAGGACGAGGACGACGGCGUCCGGUACGGCAAGCUCCGGAGGAGGACGCUGCCGUCGUGGAUGCGCGGGUUGUCGGGAAAGGUCCGCUCGGAGUUGGAGCAGCGGCGCCGCGAGGGGCCGUUGCGGAGGAGGUACGGCAGGCCGAAACGGUGGCGGCUGCGGCCGUGCAGAGGGUGGGCCCGGAUGCGGUACCGCGAGACGGCGCCGCUGCAGUUGCGGAGGUGGACGCGGCGGACGCACCGGCGGCGCAAGGCACGGCGGCCGCGCGUCCUGUUGACGGGGUUGUUGUGCCCGCGGUGGUACAUGCUCCUGCGGACGCAGGAAGCCAAGAGGUGGCACGUCAAGGAGCUGAAGGAGUCCCGGCUGGUCACCGUCGGGCCUCUCGAAUGAAAAGUUUAACGGGGCCGCAGAAGCUUACAGCCCAGUCGUGUCCCUCGUACCAAGUCGCGGCGGCGGUGCAGGUAGGAGUGGCGCCACCAGCUGGUGCGUAACCGGCGCCGCCCGUUGAGCUGCUGGCGGUUCUUCAUGAAGCGGUGCCCGCUCCACCUGAAGGUCGGGUCCUAGAUGCGCGAGCGCGUCACGGAGGGCCUCUACUGCGGCAGUGUCACGGUCUCGACGGAGCCCUGGGAGGAGCACGUUUGUUGUGGGUACGAGUCGUGGUUCGGGGCUACCUAGUACCGAAAUCACCGGACCACGUUGGACUCCAUGUCGCACGCCGGCAAGAUGCUCCCGACCAGCUACGACGCCGAGGGCCGCGGUGGUGGCGGUCGUCAGCACGGCGGUAGACAUUGAGGUUUCAGACCUCCUUGUCCCUUCUUUUACUCACAUCGUCCUUAGAGGCACCCGUAACAAACAAGGCAGGAGAACGAUAAACAAGAAAGCCAAAAACGAAAGCAAGCUAAGUUCUCUUCCUGAUGAUUCGUAAGUCUUCUGCUGGUGGGUAAGUUCUUUUAACACCCUCGUGUUACGUACUAGAAACUAAAUAGCCGCGACGUUCUCCGUUGACUUUCGAAGAGCCUUUUCUUAUUCGAGCCUCUUCCACCAAAACCGUAACACAUGUUCCCCUAUGAUCGUCUACCCGUCCUUUAUCGUCACUUCUUCGAAAACCCUCCUUGGCCCUCGCCAAACGUAGUCGACGUGUUACUCCACGUCGAUAACCGUCUCGACGUCGUGUUCUUGGAACAAUCUAAUGUCCCCAAAACGAGCGUAGCCCUACUAUGCGACGAGCAAAUACUUAUAUAGUUCUUACCCUCGGAGCUGUUGAAAGAUAAGCUUUGGUCACUCCUUUUGUGUGACUCGACCCGCGUUGUCGUGUUGUAGUAAGAACCCUAACGGUUCCCUUAAAACAUAGAAGUGCUCCUAAGUUCGUACUCCUAGUAGGUGGCCCUGGACUUUGGAUUGUUGUAAGAGCAACUGCUGCCGUACUUAGGCUUUUAGCGUCUGAAACCUGAACGUUCCGACGAUCCUCUUCCAGUAUGAGUAUGAUUCUGUCGAUCUCGACAACCUUGUGAUCCAAUGUACCGUGGGCUCAUACGUUAUGUGCCUGCGCACAGCGGGUUCUAGCUAUAAAAGUCGAAGCCACAGAACCAGGAGCUUUAACAAUGACCCUCUGCCUUGUCGUCAAGACUACUAGCGCUACUUCACUUAGAAUAAUCACUACACACCUUGACGACCUGGUUUCCCUGCUAUAGCGUCUACUAUCUGGCUAGCGACCUACUUGUGCGAGCUUCGGUCCGAAAUGCUACAUAGGUGUAGCCCAACUACACGCAGGUCAGCCUGGGAUAGCUGUCCGGAAUGUAUAGUAGGCAGUAAAAGUACAAUUGGUCCCUGUUGUGCCUCUAAGUUCGUGGGCGCGUUGGACGUAAGAAGAAACCCUCUCUUCGCCGAAAUCGAAGAGGCCGUAUACUGGCUAGACUAAAGUAGGACCCUGUCCUACAGAGACACUUACGCCAAUGUUAAUGACUCGGCAUAGGAUCCAUCCAUUACUUGGCCACACUACAACUCCGGAUUCCCCACUCAACUGACACCAAAGUCGCUCCUAAAAGUCUCUAGACCGGAACCAACAUCUUAGGGAAAACAAAGCCCAACGAAGCUACAGAUGCCCGAGUCAAUGGGGUAAUAGAACAAUCUAAACUAAAAUAAAACUAACUUAUAUUUUUAAAUAUAAUAAAAUAUUCCAUUUUAGCGGACCUGGUGAAGAGAUAGGCGGUAAACCAGUUCCUUAUCACGUUUAUAUAACGAAAAAAA